rnacentral:rRNA from 1 species
UGGGGAAUAUUGGACAAUGGGCGAAAGCCUGAUCCAGCCAUGCCGCGUGAGUGACGAAGGUCUUCGGAUUGUAAAACUCUUUUGGCGGGGACGAUAAUGACGGUACCCGCAGAAUAAGCCCCGGCUAACUUCGUGCCAGCAGCCGCGGUAAUACGAAGGGGGCUAGCGUUGUUCGGAAUCACUGGGCGUAAAGCGCACGUAGGCGGAUGUGCCAGUCAGGGGUGAAAUCCCGGAGCUCAACUCCGGAACUGCCUCUGAUACUGCACGUCUUGAGUUCGAGAGAGGUGGGUGGAAUUCCUAGUGUAGAGGUGAAAUUCGUAGAUAUUAGGAAGAACACCGGUGGCGAAGGCGGCCCACUGGCUCGAUACUGACGCUGAGGUGCGAAAGCGUGGGGAGCAAACAGGAUUAGAUACCCAAGUAGUCCCUGAGCGGGCUGGCAAGGCGCAU